rnacentral:SRP_RNA from 2 species
UCCCAGGUCCCGAGGGAAGUUCGCCCUCUAACUCCGUCAGGACCGAAAGGUAGCAGCGGCAUGAGGUGCCGUUCCUCGCCUCGUCAGACCUGGGAUAU